GAUUGUUAAUAUUCUACGUUCUACAAUAUGAAAAUGUAACGACAUUUUAGUGGACAACAUACCGAGGCGAUUAUGGAAAGUUCAGUUAGAACAGACAUCUGAAAAGAAUUGCGAUAUUCGCCUUUCGACGAACACACACUUGGUGUAUGACAUUUCUUUUAUUUAUUAUCAUUGUUGUGCAAGUGUCAACCAAUUCUGUUUCUUGUGAGGUUUGAUCUCAGUGAAUCAGUCAAA